GGUUUAAUUCGAUGAUACGCGAGGAACCUUACCCGGGCUUGAACUGCCAGUGACUCAUGCAGAGACGCAUGUUUCUUCGGACACUGGGCGGAGGUGCUGCAUGGUUGUCGUCAGCUCGUGCCGUGAGGUGUCGGCUUAAGUGCCAUAACGAGCGCAACCCUUCUCCCUGUUUGCCAUCGGGUAAUGCCGGGCACUCCAGGGACACUGCCAUCGUAAGAUGUGA
rnacentral:rRNA from 1 species